rnacentral:miRNA from 1 species
CAUGAUGGCUUCCUUUU